UGCGAUGAGUCGAGAUAAAUCAGACAGUACUUGUACUGUUCCGCUGCUGGCGGCUAGUGAUUAUUUCAACCGGCACACGUAUUCUAUCGUAUAUAGAGUGUGAGAUAUCAAUGAUGUGUGAACCGUC
rnacentral:ncRNA from 19 species